CUUGCGGCAGCUACACAUGCAAGUCGAGCGGAAACGAUGGAGCUUGCUCCAGGCGUCGAGCGGCGGACGGGUGAGUAAUGCAUAGGAAUCUGCCCGGUAGUGGGGGAUAACCUGGGGAAACCCAGGCUAAUACCGCAUACGUCCUACGGGAGAAAGCAGGGGAUCUUCGGACCUUGCGCUAUCGGAUGAGCCUAUGUCGGAUUAGCUUGUUGGUGAGGUAAUGGCUCACCAAGGCGACGAUCCGUAGCUGGUCUGAGAGGAUGAUCAGCCACAUCGGGACUGAGACACGGCCCGAACUCCUACGGGAGGCAGCAGUGGGGAAUAUUGGACAAUGGGCGAAAGCCUGAUCCAGCCAUGCCGCGUGUGUGAAGAAGGCUUUCGGGUUGUAAAGCACUUUCAGUGAGGAAGAAGGCCUUGGGGCUAAUACCCCCGAGGAAGGACAUCACUCACAGAAGAAGCACCGGCUAACUCCGUGCCAGCAGCCGCGGUAAUACGGAGGGUGCGAGCGUUAAUCGGAAUUACUGGGCGUAAAGCGCGCGUAGGCGGCGUGAUAAGCCGGUUGUGAAAGCCCCGGGCUCAACCUGGGAACGGCAUCCGGAACUGUCAG
rnacentral:rRNA from 1 species